GACGAACGCUGGCGGCGCGCCUAAACACAUGCAAGUCGAGCGGGAAGCUUUUUUAAGGAUUCUUCGGAUGAAUUAAAAGUGGAGAGCGGCGGACGGGUGAGUAACGCGUGAGAAACCUUGCCCUAUACAGGGGGAUAGCCAUUGGAAACGAUGAUUAAUACCCCAUAUGACCACAAGUACUCGCAAGUGAUACUAGCGGUGAAAAACCUCCGGUGGUACUAGGAUGGUCUUCGCGUCUGAUUAGCUAGUUGUGGGGUAACGCCUACCAAGGCACGAUCAGUAGCCGGCCUGAGAGGGUUACCGGCACACUUGGAACUGAGACACGGUCCAGACUCCUA
rnacentral:rRNA from 1 species